GUCACAGGUGGAACAAUCCCCCCCCACCCCUCUCUCUCCCCCCGGGGCGACGUGGCAGGAGCUGGAUGGCAGAGCGCAUCAGGAGUGUCAGGGAGUGAAAGCGACGAAACAAGCUUUUCUCACGGAUGCUACCGGGGAGUCAGAAAAGACAAUUGUGAGCGAGUCUCCAUUGGCUGCGCUCCUCAGAUGAGAGGAGACGGAGGAGACUGAGGAGACUGAGGAGACGGAGGAGACGGAGGAGACGGAGGAGACGGAGGAGACGGAGGAGCAGGUCCAGAUGGCAAAAGCCUUGAGGAGUCAGAACGCAGCACAGCUCCUUUUGACAUACGCGUCUCUUCUUUCUGUCAUUGUCACUGCAGAGUGGUGUCCUGCACCACCUGCACGGCUCCACCACCUGCACGGCUCCACCACAAGAUGGCGCCAUUUCACCAGAGAUUGAUUAUUUUUUCUUACGACCUUUUGCUUAAACAUUUAUUUUCUCACAUG